rnacentral:rRNA from 1 species
AGGUCAGUAGGUUGGUCGUGCCACCGGUACGUACUGGUCUCACUGAUUCCUCCUUCCUGAAGAACCGUAAUGCCAUUAAUUUGGUGUUGCGGGGAAACAGGACUGUUACUUUGAAAAAUUUAGAGUGUUUAAAGCAAGCUAACGCUUGAAUACAUUAGCAUGGAAUAAUGAAAUAGGACGAUCGAUCCUAUUUUGUUGGUUUCUAGGAUUGACGUA